rnacentral:lncRNA from 1 species
GCAUUUGUCGAGUCAAAGAUGUUAAGUUGCUAAGUGAUUGAAGUUGUGAUUCUUUGUAUGAACUAUGAAUGAAGUGAAUAAAUGAUAUAUUAUUAUCUACGAUGAAUAUUAUGAUGUUUUAAUGUUGUUAAAUAUAAUUGUUGAAUUAUAUGCUUAAUAUUAUUGUUUUGUGAAAUCUCACCCCUUAUGCUUGGAAAUGUUGCUCUUCGUAUGAGUAACUUGCAGGUGAUCGAGAGUAGUGCUGUUGCUUUGCUGUCGUGAGUGG